CCGUCGAUAGCUCAGCUGGUAGAGCGGAGGACUGUAGAGUUGCAACAAUCCUCAGGUCGCUGGUUCGAAUCCGGNCUUGACGG
rnacentral:tRNA from 1 species